rnacentral:rRNA from 1 species
GACGAACGCUGGCGGCAUGCCUAACACAUGCAAGUCGAACGAGAACUUCGGGUCUAGUGGCGCACGGGGGCGUAACGCGUGGGAACCUGCCCUUAGGUUCGGAAUAACUCCCCGAAAGGGGUGCUAAUACCGGAUAAUGUCUUCGGACCAAGGAUUUAUCGCCUUUGGAUGGGCCCGCGUUGGUUUAGCCGGUUGGUAGGGUAAAAGCCUACCAAGGCGACGAUCCAUAGCUGGUGUGAGAGGAUGAUCAGCCACACUGGGACUGAGACACGGCCCAGACUCCUACGCGAGGCAGCAGUAGGGAAUAUUGGACAAUGGGCGAAAGCCUGAUCCAGCAAUGCCGCGUGAGUGAUGAAGGCCUUAGGGUUGUAAAGCUCUUUUACCCGGGAUGAUAAUGACAGUACCGGGAGAAUAAGCUCCGGCUAACUCCGUG